AGUGAACGCUGGCGGUAGGCCUAACACAUGCAAGUCGAACGGCAGCACAGUAAGAGCUUGCUCUUACGGGUGGCGAGUGGCGGACGGGUGAGGAAUACAUCGGAAUCUACUUUUUCGUGGGGGAUAACGUAGGGAAACUUACGCUAAUACCGCAUACGACCUACGGUUGAAAGCAGGGGAUCUUCGGACCUUGCGCGAUUGAAUGAGCCGAUGUCGGAUUAGCUAGUUGGCGGGGUAAAGGCCCACCAAGGCGACGAUCCGUAGCUGGUCUGAGAGGAUGAUCAGCCACACUGGAACUGAGACAGGGUCCAGACUCCUACGGGAGGCAGCAGUGGGGAAUAUUGGACAAUGGGCGCAAGCCUGAUCCAGCCAUACCGAGUGGGUGAAGAAGGCGUUCGGGUUGUAAAGCCCUUUUGUUGGGAAAGAAAAGCAGCAGGUUAAUACCCCGCUGUUCUGACGGUACCCAAAGAAUAAGCACCGGCUAACUUCGUG
rnacentral:rRNA from 1 species